GAUGAACGCUGGCGGCGUGCCUAAUACAUGCAAGUCGAGCGAACGGACGAGAAGCUUGCUUCUCUGAUGUUAGCGGCGGACGGGUGAGUAACACGUGGAUAACCUACCUAUAAGUCUGGGAUAAUUUCGGGACACCGGAGCUAAUACCGGAUGAUAUUUUGAACCGCAUGGUUCAAAAGUGAAAGACGGUCUUGCUGUCACUUAUAGAUGGAUCCGCGCUGCAUUAGCUAGUUGGUAAGGUAACCGCUUACCAAGGCAACGAUGCAUAGACGACCUGUGAGGGGGAUAGGCCGCGUUGGAAGUGAGACACGGUCCAGAGGACUAAGGGAGGCAGCAGUAGGGAACGUGCCGCAAUGGGCGGAAGCCUGACGGAGCAAGGCGGCGUGUGUGAUGGAGGUCUUCGGAUCGUAAAACCCGGUUAUUAGGGAAGAACAUAUUUGUAAGUAGCUGUGCACAUCUUGACGGUACCUAAUCAGGAAGCCACGGCUAACUACGUG
rnacentral:rRNA from 1 species